AUUGAACGCUGGCGGCAGGCCUAACACAUGCAAGUCGAGCGGUAGCACAGGGAGCUUGCUCCUGGGUGACGAGCGGCGGACGGGUGAGUAGUGUCUGGGAAACUGCCUGAUGGAGGGGGAUAACUACUGGAGACGGUAGCUAAUACCGCAUAACGUCGCAAGACCAAAGAGGGGGACCUUCGGGCCUCUUGCCAUCAGAUGUGCCCAGAUGGGAUUAGCUAGUAGGUGGGGUAACGGCUCACCUAGGCGACGAUCCCUAGCUGGUCUGAGAGGAUGACCAGCCACACUGGAACUGAGACACGGUCCAGACUCCUACGGGAGGCAGCAGUGGGGAAUAUUGCACAAUGGGCGCAAGCCUGAUGCAGCCAUGCCGCGUGUAUGAAGAAGGCCUUCGGGUUGUAAAGUACUUUCAGCGGGGAGGAAGGUGUUGAGGUUAAUAACCUCAGCAAUUGACGUUACCCGCAGAAGAAGCACCGGCUAACUCCGUGCCAGCCGCCGCAGUAA
rnacentral:rRNA from 1 species